rnacentral:rRNA from 1 species
UACGGAGGGUGCAAGCGUUAAUCGGAAUUACUGGGCGUAAAGCGCACGCAGGUGGCUGAGUCAGUCGAUUGUGAAAGCCCUGGGCUUAACCUGGGAAUUGCAGUCGAUACUACUCAGCUAGAGUAUGGGAGAGGGUAGUGGAAUUCCCGGUGUAGCGGUGAAAUGCGUAGAUAUCGGGAGGAACAUCAGUAGCGAAGGCGGCUACCUGGCCCAAUACUGACACUCAGGUGCGACAGCGUGGGGAGCAAACAGG